rnacentral:rRNA from 2 species
UACGGAGGGUGCAAGCGUUGUUCGGAUUUAUUGGGCGUAAAGCGCGUGUAGGCGGUUUCUUAAGUCUGAUGUGAAAGCCCUGGGCUCAACCCAGGAAGUGCAUUGGAUACUGGGAAACUUGAAUACGGGAGAGGGUAGUGGAAUUCCUAGUGUAGGAGUGAAAUCCGUAGAUAUUAGGAGGAACACCGGUGGCGAAGGCGGCUACCUGGACCGAUAUUGACGCUGAGACGCGAAAGCGUGGGGAGCAAACAGG